rnacentral:rRNA from 1 species
GAUGAACGCUGACAGAAUGCUUAACACAUGCAAGUCAACUGUGGCGGACGGGUGAGUAACGCGUAAAGAACUUGCCUCACGGAUAGGGACAACAUUUGGAAACGAAUGCUAAUACCUGAUACUGUGAGAGAGCUUUGCGUCCCAUUAGCUAGUUGGAGAGGUAACGGCUCACAAAGGCGAUGAUGGGUAGCCGGCCUGAGAGGGUGAUCGGCCACAAGGGGACUGAGACACGGCCCUUAUUCCUACGGGAGGAAGCAGUGAAGAAUAUUGGGCAAUGGACCGAAGUCUGAACCAGGAAUUCUGUGUGCAAGAUGAAGUUUUCGGAAUGUAAAGUGCUUUCAGUUGGGAAGCGGUACCAACAGAAAAAGUGACGGCUAAAUACGUGCCAGCAGCCGCGGUAAUUC